GACAAUGGAUAUCUCGGCUCUUGCAUCGAUGAAGAGCGCAGCGAAAUGCGAUACGUGGUGCGAAUUGCAGAAUCCCGUGAAC
rnacentral:rRNA from 4 species